rnacentral:rRNA from 1 species
UAGGGAAUAUUGCGCAAUGGGCGAAAGCCUGACGCAGCAAUACCGCGUGAGUGAGGAAGGUCUUCGGAUUGUAAAACUCUGUCGGGAUGGAAAAAUGGCGUAGGAUCUAAUAGGUCUUACGAUUGAUGGUACAUCCAAAGGAAGCACCGGCUAACUUCGUGCCAGCAGCCGCGGUAAUACGAAGGGUGCAAGCGUUGUUCGGAUUUAUUGGGCGUAAAGCGCGCGCAGGCGGGUAAUUAAGUCAGAUGUGAAAUCUCAGGGCUCAACCCUGAAACUGCGUCUGAAACUGAUUAUCUAGAAUGUCGGAGAGGGAAGGGGAAUUUCACAUGUAGGGGUAAAAUCCGUAGAUAUGUGAAGGAAUACCAGAGGCGAAGGCGCCUUCCUGGACGAUGAUUGACGCUGAGGCGCGAAAGCGUGGGGAGCAAACA